GAAGAGAGAGUUAAAGAGCACGUGAAAUCGGUAAGGUGGAAACGGAUAGAGUUGACGUAUAUGGCUUGUAUUCAACCGUUGGAUUAUGCGUAACAAUGGGUUGUAUUUGCGUUGGCCGGUUUAAUAUACGCUAUUUUCGGAUGGUGUUUAUGUUGGGCUGGUUCGGCGCGCAGUCCAUUGGUGUUUACGUUUUUUAGCGGUGCAUUUACGAGUCAAUGUGCGCUGGGACAUGCGCGAUUUCGGUCGUCAAAGAAGUUUUUUGGUGCAAGAGGUUACUUUUUAGCAUUUUAAAUUUAUUUUAAAAUGCAGGUAAAACCGUGCCCCUUUCGGAGGCGAUUCGUCGUGCAUGUAGUACUUAAGUUUUUUUGGUUUUUAAAGGAUGGCGUUUAUUUUGAAAGAAAUAAAUGCGAAUGUUUUAAAUUUAAUUGUAUUUAUUGAUUAUGCGAGUCGCAUGCGACGCGUAUAAUUAAUUUAUUUAAAAUAGAUACGAUUAUUUAAAUAUUUCCCACUUUCCUUUAUCCCGGUGUAAAAGUCAAUCAUCUAUCCGACCCGUCUUGAAACACGGACCAAGGAGUUUAACGUAUACGCGAGUCAUUGGGUGUUCAAAACCUAAAGGCGUAAUGAAAGUGAAUGUAAUUUUUUUUAUUAAACUGAAAAAAAUUACAAAUAUGCGAUCCCAUAAAUUUCGAUUUAAGGGCGCAGCAUAGCCCCGUUUUUGUCGCAUGCGAUGGAGCGGAGGAAGAGCGUAUGCGUUGAGACCCGAAAGAUGGUGAACUAUGCCUGAGCAGGACGAAGCCAGAGGAAACUCUGGUGGAAGUCCGAAUCGGUUCUGACGUGCAAAUCGAUCGUCUGACUUGGGUAUAGGGGCGAAAGACUAAUCGAACUAUC
rnacentral:rRNA from 1 species